rnacentral:lncRNA from 1 species
AUUUUCCUCCCAGAGCCAACCGGCGUUAGAUGCGAGUGGGUUCUACUUCCUGAGGGGGAAAAGGAAGCUGCUCUUUUACAGCAACUGCUGCAGUAGCCACGUGAGCCGAGCGUCUCACCUCAGCUGAUAAGGCAGAGCGUCGAGACACUUUGUUUGCCGCACGGUCCCCCAGGGGGCACAGACCAUGAUGGCAAGGCAAAUUUGCAAUCUGCUCCCGUUAAAAACGGUGAGCAGUGACUUCAGAGUUGAGAAAAAAACAGGGAAAUAGGAUAAAAACUGUUUAGGACGUCGGAGCACGGUACCUGCAUAGACUGGGGGGCGGGGGGUGGGAUGGAUCAUAAUAUAGACGCUGUUCUAAAACGAGCAUUUGUUUAUUGUUACUGUGCAGUGCAGGCACGCCCUAGCAACUAUGGGGACAGUUUGAAGGAGUUGGUGGGAUCUGGGGAUCGAAAUGAGGUUGGCAGGUUUGCUCAGCAAGUGCCUUUUUCCCUCCGAGACUUCUGGCUACCGGCACCUAUUUCUUUGAAGCAUAGUCGCAAAAGUUGUGUAGCAGAAGAUAGCCUUGAACUGCUGAUUCUCCCGCCUCAGGUCCUGGGAAUUAGUCUUGGGCCACCAUGCCUAAGCUUUUUGUUAAUUGAAGGGAAGCGGGGAAUGAGUAAGUUUGGUUUGAUUUGUUUUUUUUCCAGUUUGUCGGCAUAGCACCCCUGGCUGUCCCUGUGCUGUAGACCAGGCUGACCUCAAACUCCGAGAUCUAUCUCCCAAGUGCUGGGAGAAAACGUGUGUUCCACCACCUAGAUUUCAGUCACAGAUGAGGGUCAGACUGAAANAAGAGGCUCAGAAUUGGAGAUGUGUGACAGGACCUGAGAAUGGAAAUAAAUUCAUUUGGGCUGGAGGGCACAGAACCGUAUUAUACUGUACUUUCAUGCAUAGCAACCGUUAUUUUCUGAUCACUGGCUUCCUGUUAUUACGGUUUCUAUCCCUGGUACCUGGCUUAUUUAUACCUCAUCGCCUACAACCAGACUUUAUUGACCUUAUUUAUUUAUUUAUUCUGGUUUUUCGAGACAGGGUUUCUCUGUGUAGUCCUGGCUGUCCUGGAACUCACUCUAUAGACCAGGCUGGCCUCGAACUCAGAAAUCUGCCUGCGUCUGCCUUCCAAGUGCUGGGAAGCUUAUUGACCUUUUUAGAGAGUUCAGCAAUGUAGCCUCCUAGACUAAUGCUUCCCUGGUUGCUCCCCCACCCCCUUCACUAUACCCCCAUCAACCAAAAAAUAAACUUCAACUUCUGUAUGGU